rnacentral:misc_RNA from 1 species
AUCGUCUCGAACGCGUUUGUCGGCCUUCACCCUGUGUAUCUAUUGCCGCCUUAUUUCUCUUUGGUGCUUUUUCAGCACCCUCCUCCUUUUUCCCCUCCGCACUCUUUCGUCUCUCCGUGUUGCGAGAGUGCGCAGGUGACAGGUACCGCCCCGCUUCCCUUCUCCUCCAAGACACGCACAAAGAGAGAGAUCCGCACGCGCACACGCACGCGGAGGAAUCGUGAGCGUUCCCUCCCCGUCUUCUUUUGCCUGUCUUUUCGUUUCUUUGAUUGCGCGCGCGCGUGUGUGUGUGUGUGCGUGGACGUUCUUCUCCGCUUCUCUUGUGUCUGCUCGCCCGAGUGCAUCUUAAUGUCGUUUCCUUUUAUUUUCGUUGCUGCUCCCUCCCCCGAGCCUCUCUGUUUUCUCUUUGAUCUCCUUUUCUCGUCGAUUCAGCUGCGCUCCGCGCCCUAGACCCUACGCCAGUUUCGGAUAGCUGCAUAUGCGGCCCCGCUCAUCUUUGCGCACGGGUGUGCAUCGCUCUCACUUUCACGGCUGCCUCCCUCGUUACCGAGGCGGAGAGAUCGCUUACAGCUGGAAAAGGAUAGUGAAAGAAGGUGAAACGGCGACAAAAAGGGACGGACAUCCGCAGCCAUUCGUCUUGUACGAGUGGUGACACGCGCACACGGCCAGGUGCUGCUGAGUCGGUGUUGCCACCUGCCACCUGUCUCUCAGAAAAAAAAAUACGCUACGUCGAACCGGGGGUCUUUUCCCAUUUCACAUCUACGGCCCUGCGGGCGAACGGCAGCGCAGCAACAUUUGAUCUCAGAAAGUGAAGCGAGAAAAGGUGCCUAAGCUCUCCACACCUUUGUCGCCCCAUAGUAGGCACGGUGGUAAAAGAUGCAGGCGCCCGAGUCACCAAUCACGUUCCACCGCAGUCACCCGUCCUCGACCGCGUCGGGCGAGCAUGCCCGGCCGCUGCGGGGCAGAAGCCACAUUGAUGAGAACACCCCGGUGGCCACACUAACGGUCGAGGUGCUCAAGCUGAGCAUCCCGCUCGGCCUGGCCGCGGUGGCUCAAAACUCCAUUAGCGUGGUGUUAGUAGCCAUGGUAGGCAAAAUGGUCGGGGACAGGGAGCUCGGCGCGACGGUGCUGGCGAACAGUCUUCUGAACGCGACCGCCUACUCUUUGUCGGCAGGCCUCUGCGGUGCGCUGGAGACGGUUCUGUCCCAAUCGUACGGCCGCGAUCAAACUAGUAAGCUGUACGGGGUUCAUGUGCAGCGCAUGUCGCUCAUACUGCUAAUCGUUGCUGCUUUUGUCGGGCCCGUGCUGGCGUUUUCGGAUUCGCUGCUCAUCUCCAUCCGGCAAAAUGCCGAGGUGGCGCACUUUACAGGCGAGUUUUGCCGCAUCUCCCUCUUCGGCGUCUACUCGCUCAUGCUGCUGGAGGUGAUGCGGCGCUACUUCGCCUGCCAGCACCUGAACACGCAGCUUUCCGUGAACCUCAUCAUCGGCGCUGGAUCCUUUCCAUUUGUGCUGUGGGCAUGCAUCAAGAUGUUGAGCUUCCCCGGCGCGGCGGUGGCGUGGUCGCUGCUCAUGAGUUGCAUGCCCGCCUCCCUUUUUCUCUACCUUCUUGUGACCGGCAAGUACAAGAAGACAUGGGGUGGGUGGGAACCAACGGCGCUGAUGAACUGGGGUCCGCUGCUGAAGCUUGCUUUUCCGUCCAUGGCGAUGAUGCUGAGCGAGUGGAUGUCGCAGGAGGUCAAUCUCAUCGUAGCCGGCUACGCCCCGAUCAAUGAACUCGACGCCUUUAGCAUACUCCACCAGUUCUCCACUAUCUUGUGGAGCAUGGCCUCUGGUGUCUUCAUCGAGGCGGCGGUGCUCGUCGGCAACGCGCUUGGCGAAAGAAAACCGCUAUUUGCGCGGCGGUGUGCGCUGGUGUGCCUCGGGCUCACAUUCCUGUUUGCACUGGUGAACCUUUCUGUGACGCUGCUGCUGCAGAACUGGAUUCCCACUCUCUUCACCAACAACGUAGCGGUGCACGCGCUGUUCCGCAAGAUGCUCAGGUUUUAUGUGGUUUACCACCUCUUGGACAGCUUUCAGAGCUGCAUGAUGGGCGUGCUGCGCGGGUGUGGCUUGCAGCUGCUGGGGGCCAUGUCCAUUGCGCUGGUCUACUCCGUCGUCGGCGUGCCGCUUGGCAUCAUCGUAUUUUUUACAACCUCGAUGGGCGUCGAGGCUUUGUGGCUGGGGCCGUGCCUUGGCCUCAGCGUCGUAGGCUGUCCACUAUACGGCUAUCUCUUGACGCACUACAUCGACUGGGAGAGCCUGCAGCUCCACGCGGACGAUGGACCAAGCUUCAAUGCUUCGAUGAACGAGCAUUCCAGGGGAGCCUUCACCAGCACCCCGUCACUGUCGGUGACAAGGUCCGACCUUGACAUGGUCAGAAGCGAGGACGAGGAGCUCCGCUCCGAAGGCGGGACGGUGCGCCUCUGCCGCGGUAGUCAUCACGGCACACCGGGGCUCGGUUCGCUGUCGGAGACAGGUCGCCACACUCCCAACUCCGCCGGUCCCCUCAGCUUCGCACACGACAACGCUUCCUUCACCUCAUUCAACGCCUGCCUUUCCCAACGCAGGGUCCGCUCCGUGCCGUCACUCAACGCGAUAGUUCCGAACCGGUCUGAUGCCCGGCAGCUGCCGCUACUCACCGAAAGCCUAUCCGAGGUGUACGGCGCGGCAGCUGCGCCUGAGUCACACCCCAACGUUUCUCCGUCCGACUGUAGGGCAGCGCCCUUGCCUAACCAUGCGGGGCGGAGCAGCAGAUCGGCGCUCCGGAGCACCACUGGUAGUCGCAGCCCUUCCGCGCAGCCGAACUCCGUUAGCAGCGACGAGGCCCCGCUGCAUCGUCCGAGUACACUACUCCGCUCUGCUACUCAGGCGCUACCUGCCUCUACAUCCGCUUUGCCGCGAGAUCGGCAGCGCAGAACCCUACCAUGGUCGUAGUCCACAACGGGCCGAGAUAGCUUUUCUCGAAAAUGAUGCCACUGUGAAGCGAAUGCGGCACGCGCGCCUCGACCUCCUUUUUCGCUGCCUUCUUCCAAAAACUUUGAUGCCUUCAUGACGCCAGCCACCUCACCGUUGUAUCAGCGUCCGGUGCUCACCCUGCGAGGAGGCCAACAGCCUGCAGCCUACCCCUUGGACACGGCUGCGGACUCUCGGUGUCGGAGAGGAGGUCUGCGCGGGUGAUGUGCCGAAGGCACUUGCAGCCAUGAUCAAGCUUGUGCCAGCCCGCCACGCAUCUUGCCGACAAUUCAGCAGACCGACGCAUCCGCCUCCAGCUUCUCUGCUUUAGCUGCGUUGCGGUGAUGUUGAGCGUAAUCCUGGGCCGAGCCUGCGCUUUAUGCACAGCGGAGUUGCGAUGGGUUGAGCGAUGCCAGACGGUGUUGGUUGACCCGCCUCCUCGUCGAAUCUACGAUACAAGUCUGCACUCCGCAAGAGACGCAUUCCACCACCACAGGCCCGUAGGGCAUGCGGCCUCCCGAGCUUUCAGCGGUCUCGUGUGGAAAGAGAAGCACGGCUGUGGCGUCUCCGCGCUCAUACAGGAGGACAUACGUAGAGGUGUAGGCCCCCCUCCCUUGUUCUCCAGGACGAGGUUGCAGCGGCUACGGCCUGGCUUUGCUGCGACGACCCUACCCGGCGGAUGCACUUCACGCCGGGCUACACACCUGAGAGUGACGCUGGUGGCACGGGAAGCUCUCGAUCAGACAUCAAGCGGCGUUGCACCCACUCCUCAGGCUAUGGGAACAGACACCAACUCGCGCCGCCGGGGUGUGCGGCGGGAAACGGCGGCUCAACCGGGCUGGAACCCUCCGUCCUCGCCCCCGCGCGAUGGGCCCGAGGGCAAACACCUGGCGCCCGCGAGCGGUGGGGGAGGGCAUGCGGCGGACGUAUCUGGGCACAAGUGCUGGCGCUGCCGGCCCGUCGCGUGCGCCUCUCAUUUCAGUCUGCCGGUGGCCAUUGCGGAUGGGCGCACCACGGCGAGGUUGGCAGGCUUGCCGGAUCGGCAGUGGCAGAGGAGCCGGCGCCGACUGCGUGGAUCACGCGCCUGGUCGCCGGCCUCAGACGCCAGGCCGACAUCGCCCGAAACCGCGAUACACGAUGCGGCACGCUGAGACAAGAGGUGCUUGGCGGCAGCCGUCCCACACCAGAGGAGCAGGGAUGCUGAGCUCACGGUACGACGGGCGGCCAUCCUCGCACAGGUCCGCGCGGGCACCCCGUCCAUGCACUGGGGAUCGCUGCAGCGGCGGGCGCCUGGCAGCGACGAGGCGGAGCGCGGAUGGCGUGCUGCCCGCUGCUCCGCUGGUGUUGCGGCGCCCCCCGCCCCCGCCAGAGCCUCCACCCCCGCCGGUGCUGGCCAUGAGGGCGUCCGGCCCGGCGUGGUGCCCGGUAUGCUGCGCGAGAUUCGCGGAUCGCCCGACGCUCGAAGCACACCUCGCCUUACGCGGUGAGCGUGCACGUCACCCCGGCACGUCCCCGUGGCAGCGACGGGGACGGAGAAGACGAAGAGAGCGAGUCCGUUCCCCUCCCCAGGCAACAGCGCCGUCCUGAAGCAGGCCCCGUGGCCCGAAUAUGCGAGCGCUGUGCGCACGCGCUGCCCACCGUUGCUGGCUUGGUGCGCCACAUCGAAAGAAAGAGUGCAGAGGUGAGAGAGCAAGAGUGAUGGACGGAAGGGGCGCGAAGAAGUCCCAUAGCAGUGAGCCCCACAGCGCAUGUGUGCAUAGCAUGCGGCAUCUUCGGCAUCUGUCCAGGGCUGCACUGAUGAGGCACAGAUGCCGGAAGCAUCACGAGAGCAGCCCGAGCUGCACCAUCCGGGCCCUCCCGACUCCCCAUGCGGAGGGUCUCCAUAUUAUGGGAUGCCGCGGCGUGAAGCGACCGAGGGCGAAGCAUGGCACGCAGGCAGGGGGUGCGCAGGGCCACCGAGGGCCCUGACCUGAGGCUGGCCAACGUCCUCCUCGAGCUCAUCCGGCAUGUCACCUUGACCACUCCCCUAUUACCCGCACGACAGACGCCACCGCCUCCGCCCUCGAGCAGGAGCAUGGGCGCGGCCCGCGUUGGAUCAGGCCAUGCAGCUCACCCAUGUCCGUGGGACGCCCGAUGCGAAGGCAGGCGGCUCGUCCUAGACGCCCAGGAUGCAGCUGUAACCCCCCCCCUACAGAGACGGGUGAGCUGUGGUUGUAUGCGUCUAUUUUUGUCACUUGCUCGCGGCAGAAUGGCACUGUGAAAUCGAAACCAAUGUGCUACAUUCAAUGUUUUGUGUUUUCAGUGACGGGCUGUACCUCCCCGUGUGUGAUCUGGGUCCGAGCGCCCCCACUCUGC